CUACGGGAGGCAGCAGUGAGGAAUAUUGGGCAAUGGGGGAAACCCUGACCCAGCAACGCCGCGUGCGGGAUGACGGCCUUCGUGGUUGUAAACCGCUUUCAGCAGGGACGAAAAUGACGGUACCUGCAGAAGAAGUCCCGGCUAACUACGUGCCAGCAGCCGCGGUAAUACGUAGGGGACAAGCGUUGUCCGGAUUCAUUGGGCGCAAAGAGCUCGUAGGCGGUCCAGUAAGUUGGGUGUGAAAGCUCCGGGCUCAACCCGGAGAGGUCACCCAAAACUGCUGUGACUAGAGUCCAGUAGAGGAGCGUGGAAUUCCUGGUGUAGCGGUGAAAUGCGCAGAUAUCAGGAGGAACACCUGCAGCGAAGGCGGCGCUCUGGGCUGGAACUGACGCUGAGGAGCGAAAGCAUGGGUAGCAAACAGGAUUAGAUACCCUGGUAGUCC
rnacentral:rRNA from 1 species